UAGCGUAUAUUAAAGUUGUUGCAGUUAAAAAGCUCGUAGUUGGAUUUGUGGUGUGUCCAGUUGGCCUUUGCUCUUUGAGUGAUAGUGCUUUACUGGUCUGCCAUGUUUGGGUGGAAUCUGUGUGGCAUUAAGUUGUCGUGCAGGGGAUGCCCAUCGUUUACUGUGAAAAAAUUAGAGUGUUCAAAGCAGGCUUAUGCCUCUGAAUAUAUUAGCAUGGAAUAAUGAUAUAGGACCUUGGUACUAUUUUGUUGGUUUGCGCACUGAGGUAAUGAUUAAGAGGGACAGUUGGGGGUAUUUGUAUUCCAUUGUCAGAGGUGAAAUUCUUGGAUUUUUGGAAGACAAACUACUGCGAAAGCAUUUACCAAGGAUGUUUUCAUUAAUCAAGAACGAAAGUUAGGGGAUCGAAGAUGAUUAGA
rnacentral:rRNA from 1 species